UGGGCGGGCGGAGGGGGCAGAGCCCUCGGCUCCGGCGUGCGAAUCCCCGGGGAGGGUCUGGGCUGGGGGGGGGGGGAAUCACGCCUGCGCAGCUCGCCUCUUCUCUCGAGCUGGCUCGGCUCCGCCCCCUAGGCCAGCGGGCACACCCAUUGGCCCGGAACACCCGGGGUUCCACCUCCCCCGCCUUUCGUCCUUGGUUAGUUUUGGCCGGAGCUUGGCGAGUGCUGUGCCAGCGUGGAAAGUGUGAACUUGGAGGUUGUUUCUAAAAUGCGGUCUCGCGUCUCGCCGCAGCCUGGGGAGCCGCAGCGCAGGGAGGUGGGAAGACCCGAGUUCAAAUUCGGCCCCAGACACUGUGUGACCCCGGGCAGGUUAUUUAGCCGCUGCCUGCCUCAGUUUCCCCAUGUGUAAAAUGUAGAUCACAAUGAUACCGACCUCCCACCGUGGUGAGAAUGAGAGAUGUUUGUGAAGCGCUUCCCGAACCUUAAAGCGCCGUAUAAACGCUAGCCAAAGAAAAAAGGAAAGAUAACUUGAUCCAGCCCGUACUGCCCGAUCCAGCAGUCACACAGUGCUUACCAGGGGCCUGGCACAGGGGCUGCAGAGACCCCCAGCUUCCUCUUCAAGUACAGCCUCAUCCCGGAAGGAGGGUGGUGUCCGUGCACAACAAAUAUUAACCAGAUCUGGUCACAGCUGUCCACAGCUGACUUUUUAUCUCCAUUUCCUUCUCUCUGCCUCAGUUUCUCCAUUUGUGAAAGGGGCAUGAGACACUUCCCUGCCCUACUGGGCUGUUAAGAUAGGGCUUUGUGAAGCCGCCUGGGAUUGCUGGCCGCUCCUCUUUCUCCCUAACCCCUUAACCUCUCUGUGCCAGUUUCCUUCAUUUAAAAUGAAUACUUUACUGGGGAUAUCACACGAUUCUUGCCAGGAAAGGGCCCUGUUGAUCUCAGCCUUCCCUGGAGGGGAGCUGUGUCUUUCCUUUCCUGUUCGGCCUUCUCCCCUCCCUUCCCCCGCAGUCCCUCUUACCCCUCCUUUCCUCCUCUUCCUGCCCCUUCAAUGUAAUAUCUCCAUCAGCCGGCUUUCCAAGCUUCAGUUUUGCCAGGUAGUGUUGGAGGAUCUGCUCCUUGUGCCGAACAACUCCCAGCUUUAUCCAGCUCUGCCUUCCCAGGACAUUGCCCUUGCCCAAGAGAAGAGAGAAUGGCCCCUGUGCUCCUGACAGCCCAUGUCCCUCAGGGGAUUCUGGAUCUAGAAUCCGAAGAAUUGGAGCUGGCCUCAGGUGAACUGACUUGCCCGAGGUCCCACAGCUAGGAGGUGUCUGAGGCUGCAUUUGAACUCGGGGCUUCCUGACGCCAGGCCGGCAUGCUGUGCCCUGUGCCACCUUGCCUCCCCUGUGGCCAGGAGUUCAGGGCUUCUAAUCAUUUCGUAUCACCUGCGCCUCAGCCCUUGAUUCCCGGUUGCCCCUGUGGCAUCCUGCGAGCCUUCAGAGUGACAGAGUUGGCCUCUCAGGGUCACAGAGAGAUUGAGGCCUUUAGCUGGGCUCUCACACUGUACUGCCCGCCUCAGCCCAGCACGGCAUAGAGAGGCGGGUUGCGCAGGUUUAUGAAAUUACUGUUCCAAAUUAAUGUUUGCUGAUCUUUUAUAAUCCUCUGUUCCACGCACCACGAUCCCAGCUUUCCAGAUUUUCCCUUUCCUGAGGGCUUUUUUCACAGCCACCAUCUUUGUUAAAAGAGUUGCCCUCGACUCUUGUCCCUUUUCCUAUGGGUGAGGACCAUCUUGCCAUCAGGGUGUCAUGCAGAGCCUUGGAUACUUCGCCCAUUUGGGGCGAUCUCCCAUCUCCAAACCUGUGUCCAUGUAUUCUUCACACAAAUUGAAUAAAUAUUCAUUGUUCACAAGUGGGCCA
ensembl:lncRNA